CCAAACAGGAAGAGCGUGCCGGAGAUCUGAGUUAUUGAACCGUAGGUGGGAGCUUCGACCGUAUUAUGUCUUUCGAUUUAAGCAGUCGAAGGUUUAACCUUUUACCUUUAAGCUCUCACAGCAGUACAGUGGGAAACUCCCAGACAUCGUUUCCCUGUGGUUUAAGUUUGAGGAAAGAAGACGACGUGUGAGAGGUUCAGGGAGAAGUGACAGGUCGGGUAUUUGGUGCAAAUGUGCAAGAAUUUGUAAAAGAAUGGAUCCUGAAAUCGCUCCUGUCUCGCUCUCCGCGGUGAUCCGACAGCCUCUCCAUGAGCUCCUUCCUGUCGUCACCCAGGAGCGAAAACUUACUGACAAGAUUUAAAGCAUUUUUCACAGGCAGAACAUAAACGGCCCAAACUCCACCCACUCCAACGUCUGCAUGCUAUCCGGCACACUGGAGAAAACAGAAGAAAAACAAGAGGAGAAAUAUUAACUUCACACUUCAUAAAAAUCUCCCAAACAUCGUGGAGAAAUCCAAACACGGUGGUCCGGCGUGAAUCAUGACAUUUUGUCGAGGAGCCCUCCUUCAGCCACGAGCUCCGUCUCUGGACUCCCCCCGGGUCUACAAAUAAGGGUCAAUGGGGGGGAGCACCUGGACCUGCUGCUCAUAAAUCGAAGGACGGAGAAUGAAAACAGAGCUCGGUGUGCGGAGGCGUACGCUUUCCAAAUAAAGGAGAAGACUGUAUGCUUUUUCUGGAACGCGCUACACCUUAUGUAAUGAGUUAUUCUUCCUGUCUCCAGCCACAUUUUUCAAAGCAAGUGUAAUAUCUAUUGUGAUUGGUUUUAAGUCAUUGAUAUGAAGUUGGGAGGCGGCCAGUCCUCACAUUGUGCGAGAGAGGAGAUCAUGUCUGCGUUACGCUGCUUAUGUUUUCUUAACCCUACACUUCCUGCAGCCUCUCUUACCUCAGACAUACAGCCGGCUUCUUAAACACUUUGUUCCCUCUGAUGUUUGACCUUUAAUCACACAGUGUAUUUCCUCCAAACAACUCUUUGUUCUUGAAACCACAUGCUGCAGUGUGUAGUUUACAUAAAUGCAUCACUUCAGCUCGACUGUAGUCGUGUCCCGACAGAACCCGAGGUGAAUGUUUAGAGAAGUGGCCGGUUCAGAGAUUCAUCACCUGGGAAAUAACGCAUUUUAGGUGAAGAUGUCAAAACUACUUGUUAGGUUUUAGGAAAAGAUCAUGGUUUGGGUUACUUGUGAAUGUAACAUAAGUUAUAGAUGUUUUUUACAGUAUUGCUGACUUCUGGUUUCAUAAGGGAAACGAAAAGUUGCCUCUCAACCCUCCUCCUUACACUUCAUCACCUGACUUCCUCCUUUGCUGCUGUCAGAAGAACCAAGGCCACUAGAGGUCGCUUUCUUCACAGUAAACAAAUGUGUCAGUUUGUAGAGUCGACAAAUACGAUCAUGUUUUUCUGGUGAGAACAGGCUUGUCUGUGUAAAUCGAACCAUUUUCAGCUUACAUAGAUUUAGCUUAAUGCUAACGUCUGUACUUCUGCUUUGGGAGAAUAAACACGAAGCGCACCUUUAUAACUCACUUUUGUUGGAUCUGUACAUUUCAUGUUGUAUCAACAUUUCUACAA